GCUGUGCAUGUGAGCAGAGGCCAGAGGCGGAGGUGGAGAAGGAGAGGACUUGGGUGAGGAGCUGCUGCCACCUGGGCUGGGCCAGGACCUGAGAUCUCAUUGCUACUUCUUCCGCUGCUGCCUGGGGGACCUUUCUGAGACCCAGGUCGGGGACAGUGCCGGAGGGGCCUCCUCUGCUGCAGACAUCUGGAACCAGGUGCAGAUGGGUCUCUUGCUUCCUGCCCCCAUCUCUCUCACUCCCGGCUCAGUGCGGCACUCUCCAGCCUCCUGUGGGAAUCGUCUGAAGUUCUGAGCCCGGAAGCCAAGGAGGAAGACGAGGAGGAGGAGGAGGAGGAGGAGGAGGGAGAGGAAGUCAAGCCCUGAGAUCCCUUGCACCCUCCUAGCAGGAGACAAGGAGCAACGCUGCAGUGGGGAGCAGGCUGUGGGGUCCCCACCCUGAGCCCCAGCCAGGCCUAGUACCUGCUGUAGCACCCUA
rnacentral:sRNA from 1 species